rnacentral:tRNA from 1 species
CGGAGUGUGGCGCAGUUGGUAGCGCACCAGCAUGGGGUGCUGGGGGUCGCAGGUUCAAGUCCUGUCACUCCGACCA